AUACGUAGGGGGCGAGCGUUGUCCGGAAUUAUUGGGCGUAAAGGGUGCGUAGGCGGCAUUUUAAGUCACAUGUGAAACUCCUCGGCUCAACCGGGGACUUGCAUGUGAAACUAGAAUGCUUGAGUUCAGGAGAGGAGAACGGAAUUCCUGGUGUAGCGGUGAAAUGCGUAGAUAUCAGGAGGAACACCAGUGGCGAAGGCGGUUCUCUGGACUGCAACUGACGCUGAGGCACGAAAGCUGGGGUAGCGAACAGGAUUAGAUACCCUGGUAGUCCCAGCCGUAAACGAUGGAUACUAGGUGUAGGCACCGAUGAAGGUGUCUGUGCCGCAGUUAACGCAUUAAGUAUCCCGCCUGGGGAGUACGGUCGCAAGGCUGAA
rnacentral:rRNA from 1 species